CACUUUUUAUCUUCAUUAUGCGCGUGAAACCCUAACAUUUUCCCUUUCUUUUUCGUUCAACACUCAAACCCCCACGGUAGACGGCUCACCGAUGACUCUAAAUCCGACGACGACGACACCCCAACUCCGACGACGCUCCCUCGACACAGGAAAUCACCGGGAAAAUCGGAUUGUUGGAAGCGGCUGGUUUGACUGCUCCAUGUGCCUGCAGCGCUGAGGAGGGAAGGGGUGAGAGUUAGGGUUUGUAAACCCUAACUACCACAGUUUGGGUUGCGGGCCGGUUCGGGUCGCUCCAGCCAGGUUGCUUGUUUGUUGCUGGGCCACCCACUAUUUGGGUCUUGUGUAAUGGCUCUGGGCUGCUGAGUGUUGUAUCUAGGCUUCUGGGCAACUUGUAUUUUGAAAUUUGUUUGGCUUUUGUUUGCUUGUGGGUUGCCAGAUUUGUAUUUGGGCUAUGUAAUGGGACGAAAUGGGAUGUCUACAAGUGGUCUGUCUUUGUGAUUAACCCCAAACACGAGAUGAGAUUGGUUGGUAUAUAGUGUGGUUCUGGGGAACCACUCUUCUGGGUGAGAUUGGUGUAUGGGUGAGUGUAUGUGUGUCUGCAUAACAUCUUAACUAUCAUGUUUAUUGAUAAUUCGGUAUGUGAAUAUUAUCUGUGAUUGUUUUGGAUUA